rnacentral:rRNA from 1 species
UACGAAGGGGGCUAGCGUUGCUCGGAAUCACUGGGCUUAAAGGGUGCGUAGGCGGCGCGGAAAGUAGGGUGUGAAAUCCCUCGGCUCAACCGAGGAAUUGCGCCCUAAACUACCGUGCUCGAGGGAGAUAGAGGUGAGCGGAACUUAGGGUGGAGCGGUGAAAUGCGUUGAUAUCCUAAGGAACACCGGUGGCGAAAGCGGCUCACUGGAUCUCUUCUGACGCUGAGGCACGAAAGCUAGGGUAGCGAACGGG